UACGUAGGGUGCGAGCGUUGUCCGGAAUUACUGGGCGUAAAGAGCUCGUAGGUGGUUUGUCGCGUUGUUCGUGAAAACUCACAGCUUAACUGUGGGCGUGCGGGCGAUACGGGCAGACUGGAGUACUGUAGGGGAGACUGGAAUUCCUGGUGUAGCGGUGGAAUGCGCAGAUAUCAGGAGGAACACCGGUGGCGAAGGCGGAUCUCUGGGCCGUAACUGACGCUGAGGAGCGAAAGCAUGGGGAGCGAACAGG
rnacentral:rRNA from 1 species